rnacentral:misc_RNA from 1 species
AAAAGUCGUAACAAGGUUUCCGUAGGUGAACCUGCGGAAGGAUCAUUAGUGAAUCUAGGACGUCCAACUUAACUUGGAGUCCGAACUCUCACUUUCUAACCCUGUGCAUCUGUUAAAUUGGACUAGUAGCUCUUCGGAGUGAACCGCCAUUCACUUAUAAACACAAAGUCUAUGAAUGUAUACAAAUUUAUAACAAAACAAAACUUUCAACAACGGAUCUCUUGGCUCUCG